GACGAACGCUGGCGGCGUGCCUAAUACAUGCAAGUCGAGCGAAUCGAUGGGAGCUUGCUCCCUGAGAUUAGCGGCGGACGGGUGAGUAACACGUGGGUAACCUGCCUGUAAGACUGGGAUAACUUCGGGAAACCGGAGCUAAUACCGGAUACUUUCUUUUCUCGCAUGAGGGAAGAUGGAAAGAUGGUUUCGGCUAUCACUUACAGAUGGACCCGCGGCGCAUUAGCUAGUUGGUGAGGUAACGGCUCACCAAGGCAACGAUGCGUAGCCGACCUGAGAGGGUGAUCGGCCAGACUGGGACGGAGACACGGCCCAGACUCCUACGGGAGGCAGCAGUAGGGAAUCUUCCGCAAUGGACGAAAGGCUGACGGAGCAACGCCGCGUGAGCGAAGAAGGCCUUCGGGUCGUAAAGCUCUGUUGUUAGGGAAGAACAAGUACGAGAGUAACUGCUCGUACCUUGACGGUACCUAACCAGAAAGCCACGGCUAACUACGUGCCAGCCGCCGCGGUAAAAC
rnacentral:rRNA from 1 species